rnacentral:rRNA from 1 species
CGUGUAGGCGGGAGUGCAAGUCAGAUGUGAAAACUAUGGGCUCAACCCAUAGCCUGCAUUUGAAACUGUACUUCUUGAGUACUGGAGAGGCAGGCGGAAUUCCGUGUGUAGCGGUGAAAUGCGUAGAUAUACGGAGGAACACCAGUGGCGAAGGCGGCCUGCUGGACAGCAACUGACGCUGAGGCGCGAAAGCGUGGGAGCGAACA